AACGAACGCUGGCGGCAUGCCUAACACAUGCCAGUCGAACGAGACCUUCGGGUCUAGUGGCGCACGGGUGCGUAACGCGUGGGAACCUGCCCUUAGGUUCGGAAUAACUCCCCGAAAGGGGUGCUAAUACCGGAUAAUGUCUUCGGACCAAAGAUUUAUCGCCUUUGGAUGGGCCCGCGUUGGAUUAGCUAGUUGGUAGGGUAAAAGCCUACCAAGGCGACGAUCCAUAGCUGGUCUGAGAGGAUGAUCAGCCACACUGGGACUGAGACACGGCCCAGACUCCUACGGGAGGCAGCAGUGGGGAAUAUUGGACAAUGGGCGAAAGCCUGAUCCAGCACUGCCGCGUGAGUGAUGAAGGCCUUAGGGUUGUAAAGCUCUUUUACCCGGGAUGAUAAUGACAGUACCGGGAGAAUAAGCUCCGGCUAACUCCGUG
rnacentral:rRNA from 1 species